rnacentral:rRNA from 1 species
CAGCCGCCGCGGGAAUACAGAGGGUGCGAGCGUUAAUCGGAUUUACUGGGCGUAAAGCGUGCGUAGGCGGCUUCUUAAGUCCGAUGUGAAAUCCCUGAGCUUAACUUAGGAAUUGCAUUCGAUACUGGGAAGCUAGAGUAUGGGAGAGGAUGGUAGAAUUCCAGGUGUAGCGGUGAAAUGCGUAGAGAUCUGGAGGAAUACCGAUGGCGAAGGCAGCCAUCUGGCCUAAUACUGACGCUGAGGUACGAAAGCAUGGGGAGCAAACAGGAUUAGAUACCCCAGUAGUCCCUGUCUCUUAUAC